AACGAAUGCUGGCGGCAGGCCUAACACAUGCAAGUCGAACGCCGUAGCAAUACGGAGUGGCAGACGGGUGAGUAACACGUGGGAACGUACCCCUCGGUUCGGGAUAACUCAGGGAAACUUGAGCUAAUACCGGAUACGUCCGAGAGGAGAAAGAUUUAUCGCCGAGGGAUCGGCCCGCGUCUGAUUAGCUUGUUGGUGAGGUAACGGCUCACCAAGGCGACGAUCAGUAGCUGGCUGAGAGGAUGAUCAGCCACAUUGGGACUGAGACACGGCCCAAACUCCUACGGGAGGCAGCAGUGGGGAAUAUUGGACAAUGGGCGCAAGCCUGAUCCAGCCAUGCCGCGUGAGUGAUGAAGGCCCUAGGGUUGUAAACCGCUUUCAGUAGGGACGAAGCGAGAGUGACGGUA
rnacentral:rRNA from 1 species